rnacentral:rRNA from 1 species
UUAAGCUAUAAAGAGCAUAGGGUGGAUGCCUAGGCACUGAGAGCCGACGAAAGACGUGAUAAGCUGCGAUAAGCUGCGGUAAGGAGCAAAUAUCCAUUGACCCGCAGAUUUCUGAAUGGGGAAACCUACGCAAGAAGACCUUGCGUACUCAUGCAUGAAUACAUAGUGUAUGAGAGGGAACCCGGGGAACUGAAACAUCUAAGUACCCGGAGGAAGAGAAAGAAACAUCGAUUUCCUGAGUAGCGGCGAGCGAAAGGGAAAGAGCCCAAACCAGAGGAUUUAUCCUUUGGGGUUAGGACUGCAUAAUUGAUCUGCAAUUGAUAGGAGAACGGUCUGGGAAGUCCGGCGAGAAAGCGUGAAAGCCGCGUAUCCGAAAUCGAAAGCAGCAAGGCAGGAUCCAGAGUACCACGAGACACGAGAAACCUUGUGGGAAUGAGCGGAGACCACUCCGUAAGGCUAAAUACUACUCAGUGACCGAUAGCGCAUAGUACUGUGAAGGAAAGGUGAAAAGGACCCCGGGAGGGGAGUGAAAGAGAACCUGAAACCCUGUGUUUACAAGCUGUCGAAGCACGCAAGUGCGACGGCGUACUUUUUGUAGAACGGUCCGGCGAGUUAUGAUGAGUGGUAAGGUUAAGGACUUAAGGUCCGGAGCCGAAGCGAAAGCGAGUGUUAAAAGCACGGUUGAAUCGCUUAUCAUAGACCCGAAACCGGGUGAUCUAUCCAUGUCCAGGUUGAAGCUGCCGUAAGAGGUAGUGGAGGACCGAACACACAUCCGUUGAAAAGGGUGGUGAUGAGGUGUGGAUAGGGGAGAAAUUCCAAUCGAACCCGGAGAUAGCUGGUUCUCCUCGAAAUAGCUUUAGGGCUAGCCUCUGGUUAGUCUGCCGCAGGUAGAGCACUGAAUUUCCUAGGGGGCGUCAAAGCCUACCGAAGAAUAUCAAACUGCGAAUGGCGGACAGAUGAUGCCAGGGAGUCAGACUGCACGAGAUAAGUUGGGUGGUCAAAAGGGAAAGAGCCCAGACCUACAGCUAAGGUCCCAAAGUGUGUGUUAAGUGGAAAAGGAUGUGGGAUUUCGAAGACAACUAGGAUGUUGGCUCAGAAGCAGCCACACAUUAAAAGAGUGCGUAAUAGCUCACUAGUCGAGAGGUCCUGCGCCGAAAAUGUCCGGGGCUAAAACACAACACCGAAGCUUAGGAAUUCUAAUGAAUUGGUAGAGGAGCAUUGAAGACGGAACGAAGCCAUACCGAAAGGAAUGGUGGACUGUCUUGAAGAGAGAAUGCCGGAAUGAGUAGCGAGAUUGAAGUGAGAAUCUUCAAGGCCGAAUAUCUAAGGUUUCCAGGGUAAAGCUGAUCUGCCCUGGGUAAGUCGGGGCCUAAGGCAAGGUCGAAAGACGUAGUCGAUGGAUAACAGGUUGAAAUUCCUGUACUGCAUCAAAUCAGAAAUGUGGGGACACAUGAGGGAAGCAUGAGCCGGAAAAGGAAAGUCCGGUACAAGCGCAGCAGAGGACAGAUAGGCAAAUCCGUCUGUCAACUCGAGGGCGCGAUGUGGAGCGAACCAAAGUAGCGAAGCAUGUGGAGCUUGUGUCGAGAAAAGCCGCUAUUGUGUUUGAUGUACCCGUACCGUAAACCGACACAGGUGGAUGAGGAGAGAAUCCUAAGGCCGGCGGGAGAAGCAUUGUUAAGGAACUCGGCAAAAUGACCCCGUAACUUCGGGAGAAGGGGUGCUCCAGAGAUGGAGCCGCAGAGAACUGGCCCAAGCAACUGUUUAGCAAAAACACAGGUCUAUGCAAAACCGAAAGGUGAGGUAUAUGGGCUGACGCCUGCCCGGUGCUGGAAGGUUAAGAGGAGAUGUUAAUCGCAAGGUGAAGCAUUGAAUUUAAGCCCCAGUAAACGGCGGCCGUAACUAUAACGGUCCUAAGGUAGCGAAAUUCCUUGUCGGGUAAGUUC